GUGGGGAGCAGGCAGGGGCUCAUGAGACCACCACAGCCGUGCUUGGCCUGGCUCUUUGCAUUGCACACAGGAGCCACGGGGACAUCAGAAAUUUCUUCUCCCAAAACCUCAUUUCCAGCAAUGGCACUGGUGGCACCAAGCCAGGCAGAGCCCUCCCCAGCCAGUCCCCAUGCACUGAUGACAAAGAGCUCCAGGAAACCCGUCCCAGACCAAGCGUGGGCAGGGAAAGGGCCCAAGAGCUUCAUGCUGAUAGCAGUGACAAGGAACUCCUGUUUCUCCAAAGGCAUCUGGGAAAUGUCCCCAACUGUCUGUCCCUGGCAUGUCACAGUGCUGGAGGCGGCAGGCUGAAAGCAGGGCUCCUGCUCUCCGUGGGUGCCCCAGGGCAGGGGGCAGGAAGUUCCCUGAACUGCUCUGGGCAAGCAUCAGUUUGGACAUGGUGGGAAGUUCAUGCUCCAGCCCUAAGCUGCGACUUGUGUGGGUUCCUGGAGGAAGCCCAUGCUGCAUCCCCUGCAGCUCCUGCUUGUCACUGUUAAAUUUCCAUUUCAACGUGGAAACAGCUGUUUUCAUGGUACCUCUGUGUUAUUUAGACAGUCAUGCAUUCAAUCCUUGCUGAAAACCACAUUUUGCACUCUAGCAGUGCCGCGUUGUCUCGCAGGUACCAAAUGGGUGGAUGGGGAAGUGAUGCCAGCCCUGGGGUCAGGCCACCAGCGUUCCUCAUGCCUUGCCCAUGACCACCCUGGCAGUUCAUAGUGAAACUGGGAUGAUUCAAGGGGGAAAACACAUCUCAGAGUGUUCGUGGUCCAAAGCAAUGGCUGUGGAUGAACCUGUCUCCUUCCCUGUGGACCGAGCCCUCUGUCCCUAAACCAGGACACCCUCCAAGCCUGAGAACGGGAUGCUUGAUGCACAUCAAGGGACAGAGACAACAACUGUUGGCUGUGCUCAAUAGUGCUUUGUUCUUGGCCCAGGAAGCAAUGAAAAUCCGCCUUCUUUGAAGCCUGAGGAGGCCUUUUUAUUAUAUCCAGGGCUCCUGGAAAAGGAAACUCCAAGUGCUUUCCCAUAACGUGAUAAAAAGCUCUCCUGGCUGAGACCUUGGCAACUCCUUACACGUGAGAGCAGUGAGUCAGUGCAGCAUGAGGCUGAGCUCAGUGCUUGCCCAGCCACUGGAAAUCACUGAUUCUUGGUAUGUACAUAACUGGGAUUUGAAAGAACCUUGGUGUGAUUCCUGUUGACCUUGCACUUCACCCCAGAGACCUGGCAGCUGUGAUGCCUGGUCCAUUUUAGUGCCUGGUCCUGUGGCCAUAAAGCAGUGGGGGUUGAGCAGGCCCUGGACCCUCUGUGCUGUUUGGGAAGCACUGGGGAGGUUCAGGUCAUGCAGCAGAAGAGAGUCCACAAGUCUCCCAUAUCUGCACCUGAGAGCAGGCAGCUGUGGGCGAGUGCUGGGUUGUGUGGCAGGAUCUACUGCGCUCAUGCAGGGGUGCUCCUGGAUCAGAACACUGCCACAGUGCCUGUGGCUUCAGAGGGGGCCCUGGAGUUGCUCCCCAUCCUUUCUCACAAGGCUGGGGCACAGUGGGUCCUCCUUGGCACAGCCCCCAGCCUGGCUGGGUAACUCCUAAAUGGUAAAGCUGGCCUAAUUAGUCUGUUUAAUCUUCUCCCAUAAAUCACUCCUCCCCAUCCCCUGCAGACUAUCGGCAGCAUCUGAAGUCAUUAGUUAAUUUAAACCUGGGAGUUCACACGUUGGCUUAUCAGAGCCAUCUCCUUUCCCCGCUAAGCGCUUGCUCGCUGCAUCCCCGGCUGCUGCUAGAUCCGAUCUGCGCCCGCUUUGAAGCCGUGAUGGGCUGCCAGCAGGCGAGGUGCUGCCUGUCUCCGUGUCUGCUUCACUGCCUGCAUGCAGCAGUUUGCCCUAAUGCUGGAAGGAGAAGCCAGCUCUGAUGCUGCUGCAGCUUCCCCGGCUGCCAGGGAAGUAAUAGAAUCUUAGAAUCAUCUGGGUUGGAAAAGAUCAUCUGUAAGAUCAUCGAGUCAGUGCCUCCACAGGUCACAUCUUUCCUGCUGCCAGGUGACCUCCUGUGCCUGCUCCCUGUCCCUCGAAGCCUUUCUGCCCGGCGGUCACCUCGCUGAUCCAUGAGUGGAUACCCACAUCUGAUGAUUUUACUCCAGGUGUACGAGCUGCACCCAUGAAAGGUGAGCCAUGUCUUAUCUCCUGGCUGCUCCUGCCUGCUCCCAGCCUGAGAAUCCUGGCUGUGGGGUGUUUGCAGUGCUUCCCCAGCACUGUGUGUUGUGGUGGAUCUGGGGUGUCAGCUCCAGGGUGAGGGGCAGCCUGGGGCAGGUCUCUGGGGUGCAGGUUGGAAGGGCCAGCACAGACACGCCCCUAUCUGCUGGUCAUUGCUUAAGGUCAACCUUAAAUAAUGGGAAUAAUAAAAACAAGGCUGCCUGGAGGAAAGGAGAGAGCAAACUGAAUCCUAAUGAGGUUGCAUGGAGACAUCAGCAUGACCAUUUAACGGAACUUAAAAAAAAAGCACCAAGUUUAGAUCAAAGGAUUUGGGACACAGCAGUUAGGGCAACAUCCCACAAGGACACCCUGGGAGAGGACAUCCCCACUGAGAUCCCACAUACAUGAGCUGCUCCUGUCCUGUUGUGCUAGAAAAGGUCCAGGGCAACCCUUGACUAGAGGGUGUGGGAAAAGAGCCCAAAGGACUGAGAGCAAUGCUGCUUUAUUCAGGAUGGGGACUGGUAUCUUGUCACCAGCUUUACUGCAACUGGAUACAGUGCCUGGUGUGAAGGGGCAGAACAUUUGCUUUCAUGGAUGGCCAAAAUUUACCAAGUCGUGGUGGCAAACAUUGAAAGAGGAAGUUUUAGAAGGGAAAUAAAACAUUAAUAUUUCAGGGCUUAAGGCAAUUCUCAGUGCAAAGGCAGGAAAGUAAUUAGUGUUGUAGAUGGGGAAAUAAGCAGCAUUAAAUGGAAGUGGGGAGAGCACAGGUUCAAGGGGCUGCAAGAAGGAGGAUGGGCAAGGGCUCUCCAGGAGAUGGCAAGGAAAAUGAGCCUGGAGGCCCCCAGGAAUCCCCCCAGCACACCAAGCCUCGGCAGCACCGCAUUUCAGGGGGGGCUGUGCCUGCAAUAACCCAGCCCUUCUCCUCCUCCUUGCCUCGGCUCCGCUGGCCACAGGCCAGGUGAAACGCUCCCCCGAGCACGGCGGGGACUGGUCCAACCCCGCACAGCUCCAAUUAUCCCUGGCUGGAGACUUUCCAGGAAUCCCAUCCCCUCUCCCUCCACCGACCCUGCCUCCCCCAGCCUCCCCCCCUCAAAGCAAUUUGACUUUUAUAGUAAUAACUUCUGAACCCUGGACUGGGGCCGUGCCAAGGAAAGCAGCAGAAAACAAUGUGAUGGGCCUCGGCAGGCGCGGAAACUCCAGCGACCGAGACCAGCCCUAAAAUAACUUUUGAGCGAUGGUUAUUUAUUCUGGGAGAAAGUUCGUUCAUUCACAAUUUGGAGGGGAGAUAAAUGAGGGCGGGCUAGGGCUGCACAGCGGCAGCACGCCGUGGCUGCGGAUGCAGGGCGCCUGCAGCGCCAGGGCAGCCAGCUCACCACGGUCCUCCUGCACGUGUCCUGCAGGGAAAUCCUUUUUAAAAGUAUUUGGGUUCAUCUGAAAGCCCUGGCUCGGGUGGAGGAGUCCAGCUCGAGGCUGGGGGUCUGCAUGUGCCACCAAGUGCAGGGGGCUGCACUUUGUGUGUUUGUGCCUGCACAUCUUUCAGCUGCCCUGGGUAUGCUGUUCAGCAUGGUGGCUGUGCCCCAUGCACCUGGGCUCUGCACACUGAAGCCAUCAUUGUCCAAAGUACAGCAGGUGGUGCAGGCAAACUCCAGGCAGGAACAGACACCAUCCUACUGCUGGUUCUGCUGAGUAUCAGUGUGUGCAUGGCAGCUGUCAGCCAACAUCAUCUGAGCAAACAACAAGUGGUGCAAUCUCAGUAAUUCCGCAGCUCUGAGCUGCCACAGCUUCCCUGCAAUGCACAGGAGCUGAACCAGAGCUCCCAGAGGAGCCUUGAGCAACCUGGGCAACCCUGGACACUUCUGGAUCAGGGACACUCCAAAGGAGGCAGGCAGCCAACCCUCAGCACUGCCACACAUCUGCUCGUGCAAGUGUUUUAUGGUCCCUGUCACCAUGGGCUGGGCACUUGCUGGAUCUGGAGUGCAGUGGUGACUCUGCCAGACAAGGCUCAGGCUGCCUGUGGAUGGCUGGGCUUCCUUGGCAGGUCUGGAGAAAAUUGCUGGGCAAACCUGGUCUCUGCCUGCUGGAUGACAGAGAUGACAGACACCUCACAGUGUGGCUCUGUGGCCAGGAGAGGGACAGACAGUGACUGGAAUGGAUAUGAGUGCCUUACCAGUUUUGUGUGCAGAAUAUCUCCAAGAAUUACAUCCAAGACUACCUGCCCGUGAGCAUCUCAGGGGCAAGGGUUGAUCCUGGUAUCAUGAUGCUGCAGUGACAGGAGACAGCAUCACCAUCAUCACCUACCCUGCACAUCAGAUCUUGGACAGUGCACUGUUCUGGAGUGGGAAGAUGCUGCCAUAUCCCCUCCCACCAAGAGAACAACUGCACUUGCCUGGGCCACCCCUCUCCUCCUAUUGCCUCCAGACUGGGGGACCUUGCUGAGUGCCACCUAACAUUUUUGGUUUGGAAUGACAUGCGGACACGUUGGAGCUGGAGCUGCAAAAGGAGAUGAUUCAGUGCUGCCCUUUGCAGAGUGAGGAGGACACCACUUUAUGUUCAGCAACACAGUUAAGUUAUUCUGGCACUGGAUAAAAUGUCACCCAGCCACCCUUGCGUGGGGACAGCAGGGUUAACACGGGGUCACACACGGGGCAGCAGCAGCCCUUGGUGGCAGCCAGCACACGCAGCUUCCUCCAUGGCACAGUGCCCGCGACGGUGAGACUGGCCCUGCUGGGCCACAGCCCUCAUCCUGCCAGGCAGGAAAGGCUCUGGCCCCACGCUCCUCCUCGCCUCUCCACAUCCCCUGCCCUCUGCCCUGCCACCGCUGUGGACAGCCCCGUGCUUGCCAGAUGACUUCCAGCCUCGCUGCUCUUUAGGCUGUCUGAACAGCUCGUGAUCUUGGCAGGCAGCUCAGAGUCCUACCAGUCAUCAUUACUAUGAUUAUUUGUGUCUUCCCAGCUCAAAAGGGCUUUCCUCUUACCUCACCCCUGGCUGGCCUUGAGCCAGGUGGGCCUGUGGAUGGAGAAAGGGGAGAGGGCAGCAUCCUGCACUCAGAGCAGGGGUCUGCAGAGGGAUGCAGGAGAUGGGGCAGGGGGAAGGACAGAUCUUGUCCCUCCUCCUGAAUGCUCAGAUUGGAAAUCAACACCCUCUUGGUUAAUUCAUUAGCUUUGAUUAGCAGCUCUGAAGCUUGGACCAGCUAAUAGGCUCCCUCCUGCUGGUUAAUCUCCAAGAGGAGUUCAGCAAGGUUAUCUGAACCAGGAAUGGCGAGGGAAGGGUGGGGAUGAUCGCAAUUGAAUUAGGGAGCUGUUAAAUGAAGAAGCCAAACUGUGCCAGAACAGGGCUGUUGCAAAAUGUGCCCGUGGCUAAAACAUGGGGUAGAGCAUCAUUAAAACACGGGGCAGAACACAGCACUAUGCUUGCACUCAUCUGGGUCGGGGCUGGGGGCUGGGGCAGCAAGUCCCUGUGGACACCAGCCCAGCCUGUGGCUUGGGGUCAUGUUUGCCAGCUCCAUCCCAUGCAGAUCCCUUCACCAACACCUUCCUCUCCCUAAAUGGGCUGCAUCUUCCUCCAAGUGGGGGUUCCUCUGCAGCCUGGAUUUUGUUGUUGAUUAAAUUAGCUCAGCAGUAACCUAUUUGUGAUGAUGAUGUGAGGUAGCGACCUUCAGUGUUUUCAUUAAAAUAUACAUGUAUAUAUUUGUUUUCUGUGGUUAUGAAUGUAAUUCCACAAUCCACUGAGGAGCCGGUAAUUUUCUGGCUGAGGUGGGAAGUUGCUGACAUCUUGUGAUACAUGACAAGAUUGAUUGUAUUUGCUUACCCUUUAACCUAAUAAAGAAAAAUAAUGUUC